rnacentral:lncRNA from 1 species
GGCUCUCAUGAGGACCGCCACAGGAAAGGAAGACCCAGAGCUACCGCUGCUGCAGAGGAUAAGUUCAUUAGAGUUACCAGCCUCAGAAAUUGCAGCCCAAAUAAAUGCUUCACAGAGUUCAAGUAACACAUGUCAACAUCAACUGUUCAGAGGAGACUAUGUGAAUCAGGCCUUCAUUGUCGAAUUGCUGCAAAGAAACCACUAAAAAGAAGAGAUUUGCUUGGGCCAAGAAACAUGCGCAAUGGACAUUAGACUGGUGGAAAUCUGUCCUUUGGUCUGAUGAUUUCCAAUUUGAGAUUUUUGGUUCCAACCGCUGUGUCUUUGUGAGACGCAGAGUAGGUGAAUGGAUGAGAUCUGCAUGUAUAGUUCCCAGCGUGAAGCAUGGAGGAGGUGGUGUGAUGGUUUGGGGGUGCUUUGCUGGUGACACUGUCAGUGAUUUACUUAAAACUCAAGGCACACUUAACCAGCAUGGCUACCACAGCAUUCUACAGCGAUACGCCAUCCCAUCUGGUUUGCGCUUGUUUUUCACCGUAGUUUGAUUUGUUGAACACUUUUUUUGGUUUCUACAUGAUUCCAUGUGUUAUUUCAUAGUUUGUAUGUCUUCACAAUGUAGAAAAUAGUAAAAAUAAAGAAAAACCCUUGAAUGAGUAGGUGUGUCCAAACUUUUGACUGGUACUGUAAAUUGUUUUUAUUAUAUGUAACAUUUUCUUCUUGUAAUAUUCCUCGUAAUUGAAUUAGUUGGUUGCCGGGAGUUAUUCCUGCUCAAAUCACAUAGUUAGGAUUAAAAACUCCUAGCCCCAUUUAAAACAGCCGACGUGUUUUUUUUACUCACCCAGUUGCCGCCAUCUUUAGUCGUUUGCACCUCCAUACAUUGGGACGGGUCUGACUUGAAACUAGAACAUUUACAGGUCUCUGGAAUCUUGCUAUCCCAGUCUCUGUAACUCAUUAUUCCACAACACUUACCCUGCAACAGCAAACACAGUUGUCAGUGAACACGAGGUAAGAAACAGUGAACACGAGGUGAGAAACAGUGAACACAAGGUGAGAAACAGUGAACACAAGAUGAACACGAGGUAAGAAAUAGUGAACACAAGGUGAGAAACAGUGAACACAAGGUGAGAAACAGUGAACACAAGAUGAACACGAGGUAAGAAAUAGUGAACACAAGGUAAGAAAUAGUGAACACAAGGUGAGAAACAGUGAACACAAGGUGAGAAACAGUGAACACAAGAUGAGAAACAGUGAACACAAGGUGAGAAACAGUGAACACAAGGUGAGAAACAGUGAGAAAUUUACAUUGCUAGUCUUACAAAUUGAUCAUGACACAUUAAGACUUCUUUAUGAAUUGGGUUGCAAAAUUCUGGUAACUUUAAAAAAAUUCACAGGUUUUCCAGAAAUCCUGUCUGACAGAUUCCCAGAUUACGAAGGGAAUGAGCAUGAAAUCCAGAAUGCAGAAUCCAGGAUUUAUGGAAAACCUGUGAAUUUAGGGAAAGUUAUUCAAAUUUUGCCACCUAUUUAUGAAUAUUAGUAAUUGUG